GCACAAGCGGUGGAGCAUGUGGUUUAAUUCGAUGCAACGCGAAAACCUUACCUACCCUUGACAUGUCCGGAAUCCCGAAGAGAUUUGGGAGUGCUCGCAAGAGAACCGGAACACAGGUGCUGCAUGGCUGUCGUCAGCUCGUGUCGUGAGAUGUUGGGUUAAGUCCCGCAACGAGCGCAACCCUUGUCAUUAGUUGCCAUCAUUUGGUUGGGCACUCUAAUGAGACUGCCGGUGACAAACCGGAGGAAGGUGGGGAUGACGUCAAGUCCUCAUGGCCCUUAUGGGUAGGGCUUCACACGUCAUACAAUGGUCGGUACAGAGGGUUGCCAACCCGCGAGGGGGAGCUAAUCCCACAAAGCCGAUCGUAGUCCGGAUCGCAGUCUGCAACUCGACUGCGUGAAGUCGGAAUCGCUAGUAAUCGCGGAUCAGCAUGUCGCGGUGAAUACGUUCCCGGGUCUU
rnacentral:rRNA from 1 species